AAUUAACAAUAAAUUAAUAAUACCUAUAUAAAAUAAAUAAUUAAUUAACAAAUAAUGUCUAAUUAACAAGGUAAAAAGUAAAACUAAUCAAAUUAACAAGAAUAACAAAUAAAAAUUAAACUAAUUACCAACAAAUCAACAAUACCCAUGUUAAUUAAUCAACUAAUUAAACAAGAAUACAGAGUAAAAUAAUUAAUUUAGUAAUACCCAUAAAAUUUAAAUAGUUAAUUAACAAGAAUAAAAAAUAAAAUAAUUAAAUUAAUAAAUUUAAAUUAGUAAUAAAUAAAAAUAUCUAAUUAAUAAUUUUUGUAAUAAAUUUAAUAAAGAAAAUAAUUUUAUUGAUAAUUAAUUAUUAAUUAAUUUAGUCAUAAAAAUGAGAGAGAAAGAAAAUGAGCAAAAUAUUAAUUUUCUUUUAGAGAGAAGGGUAAAAUAGUAAUUUUAUGACUUUUUAACUUAUAAACCUGCUAUUGCAGGUAAGAGAUUAUUUUAAAAUAGAAUUAAAGUUGAGUGAUUUUAUUUUAAUAAAUUGAAGUUGAAGGACAAAAAUGAAAAAACUCCUAAAAUUUAGGGGCAGUUAAUGCAAUUUACCCCUGAAUUUGAAUCAUGGAAGGGACUCUCUUGGGGGGUAUGGUGAGUUAUUCUGCUAACUAUUGUGAAUUAGAUGCCAAUAAUUGAAAUAAUCUUUUGGUUAAAUUUUCAAUGCGGCGAUGAUUCCUAUUAGAUUUGUUAAGAAGUUGUUUGCAUCAUCAAUACAUUUACUUCUGACGUAGUAAUAUCUGCUUAUGUAAUGCCACAAUGUGCAUUGCUG
rnacentral:misc_RNA from 1 species